rnacentral:rRNA from 1 species
UGGGGCGAACGGGUGAGUAACACGUGGGCAAUCUGCCCUUCACUCUGGGACAAGCCCUGGAAACGGGGUCUAAUACCGGAUACGACCUGCCGAGGCAUCUCGGCGGGUGGAAAGCUCCGGCGGUGAAGGAUGAGCCCGCGGCCUAUCAGCUUGUUGGUGAGGUAACGGCUCACCAAGGCGACGACGGGUAGCCGGCCUGAGAGGGCGACCGGCCACACUGGGACUGAGACACGGCCCAGACUCCUACGGGAGGCAGCAGUGGGGAAUAUUGCACAAUGGGCGAAAGCCUGAUGCAGCGACGCCGCGUGAGGGAUGACGGCCUUCGGGUUGUAAACCUCUUUCAGCAGGGAAGAAGCGAAAGUGACGGUACCUGCAGAAGAAGCGCCGGCUAACUACGUGCCAGCAGCCGCGGUAAUACGUAGGGCGCAAGCGUUGUCCGGAAUUAUUGGGCGUAAAGAGCUCGUAGGCGGCUUGUCACGUCGGUUGUGAAAGCCCGGGGCUUAACCCCGGGUCUGCAGUCGAUACGGGCAGGCUAGAGUUCGGUAGGGGAGAUCGGAAUUCCUGGUGUAGCGGUGAAAUGCGCAGAUAUCAGGAGGAACACCGGUGGCGAAGGCGGAUCUCUGGGCCGAUACUGACGCUGAGGAGCGAAAGCGUGGGGAGCGAACAGGAUUAGAUACCCUGGUAGUCCACGCCGUAAACGGUGGGCACUAGGUGUGGGCAACAUUCCACGUUGUCCGUGCCGCAGCUAACGCAUUAAGUGCCCCGCCUGGGGAGUACGGCCGCAAGGCUAAAACUCAAAGGAAUUUGACGGGGGCCCGCACA